ACAACAACAACUAUUCUAUAUAACUUCGUUGGUGCGUGCGAAUUUGUGCAAUUAUCCGAGUACAUAAAGCUAUUACGAAAUCGUCGAAUAGUCAGUCGAAUGCGCCGCAAUGCCACGGUCGUAAAAGAUUUUGCAAUUUCACUCUUUUGGACUGACGCGUCAGCAUCCGGAGUUUAACUUUGGGCGGAAGCUCGAAGGAAACAAUUUCGUUGUAAUUUUAAACGGUUAGACAUUUCCAGGGUUGGUUAAGGAUUUGUACUUAAUUGGACUUCCUUGAAGAUCUUAGGAAGAAAACUCAUUUAUAGUAUAUAUUCUCCAAAGGUCGAACUUAAUUAGACUUCCUUGAAGAAUUCUCAAGAAAAAACUCAUUUAUAUAUUCUCCAAAGGUCAGAACAUCACAUCCACCUGUAACAAAUUGCCUCUGGAAGACCAAAUCUGUAUAUACUUAAGCUCUUCUAACCUCUUGGAACGAUUUAAUCUACAGAGAUUACAUAUUGAAUAUAGUUUAGAGAGUAUUUCUGCAUAAAUAUUAUUUCAGGAUAGAUUGCUAGAAAGGCAUACUUCUCAAAUCCAUGUAAAUAAAUAAAUACCAGUGUACACAUCUAAAUUCCUCAUAACAAUCAUAGUUUUAACGCGUCUCACACUAAUUAAGUCGUCUCAAGCCUGUCUUGCACGGUUUUCAACACGAAUUCAUGCGCACUUGAAAGCCAAAAGAGGUGCGACAAUCCAAGUACCCAAGCGAUAUGUCAAUAUUUGUAAAGAACUUAGCUGUCAAACAUAGCAGAUUCCUUUGGAGCAUACAUCCCUUAAGAUGAGAAAAGACAAAACUAUGCAAAAGACAAACAAUAACGUUGUAUACAAACGAAGUUCGCAUCGCUAAAGAGUUGACAACUCGACGCGGCGCUGUCACCGAUCCGAACUCCAUACCUACGACUAUCGCCAAAGCGUGCAAAUCAAGUUUAUCAAGUGUUUAUGUCUCCUUCGCUAUUUUGUUGUUUCAUUUUUUAAAUAUUUUUCGUUUAUUUUUUCGUGACAACUGUCACCUUUUGAUUUCGUAUGAUUUCGCAGCGGUGGUCUGGUCGCUUUAAAUGGCUAGACUGCAUACGCACUCACAGCGAAAGACUCUGCAGCUCCGUUGCGUGUUUUUUUUCGUACAUUUGUUUGCCAGUGCAUGCCACACAGGUGUUUCAAGCUUUGCUGCUUAUGAUUAUGGCUGUGAGCGCAUAUAAAUAGCAGUGGAUCACUUUCAUUUCAACGAGUAGUUGAACUAGCUAAAUCUUCACGCAACUAUUUGAGCUGCGGUCAUUGAUUUGGAUUGAUUUAUGGUCACAACAGUUUUGUUCGUGGUUGAAUGCUUUUAAAGUUUAAUGAUCUGUAGAUCUCUAAAAGUGAUUAGUAUCCGAGUUAAAAAUGACAGCUGAAUUGGUUGCAGUUAAUGGAAAUCUCAAAAUGAUGCUA